GAGUUGAUUUUAGCCUCAUAGUUAAAAUCUAUAUAACACGGAUACUUCACUUUGUUGCCGUAUCGCGUAUCGGAUACGUAUCCGAUACCGAUACGCGACGGAUACGCGACGGAUACGUAUCCUGGGCGUAUCCGCGGGAUGGGCCGUAUUGGGCCGGGAAACCUCAGAUUCGAUACGUAUCUCGGUGGAUACGGCCCAGUUUAAAGCCCAUCUAAAGGAGCCGGCCCGAUAGAAUUAACGGGCUGGACCAAAAAGCCCAUUUGUGAUGUAGCCCAUUGCAGCUGGAUGAACAAAUCUAGCUCUAUAAAUAAUGAUGCUCUAUACAAUAUAAGAUUCCACACAAUUGAGAAAGCCGCAGCUAGGUCAAAAACUCCCCGCCUCCAUAGAUUCGCAGUAUGGCAUCUCCAAAUCUGAGUGCUACUGCUGCUAGUUCUAUCAUGUUAUUUUGAGUGUAAUAGACCUUUAAUGUCUCUAUGUUGAAUUAGAAUAUCUAUUUUGUAAUUUAUUUUGCACUAUUAUUAUUUAUUAAAAAAAAUAGUUAAAACGUA